CGUAGUUGAUCAGUGGCUCAGAACGAACGCUGGCGGCGCGUCUUAAGCAUGCAAGUCGAACGGCAAGAUUAGGUGCUUGCACUAAUCCUAGAGUGGCGGACUGGUGAGUAACGCGUGGGUGACGUACCUUCUGAUGGGGAUAGCUACUAGAAAUAGUAGAUAAUACCGAAUACGAUUCCGUAAGUUAGAGGUGCGGAAUGAAAGGAGCUUCGGCUCCGCGGAAGGAACGGCCCGCGUACCAUUAGCUAGUUGGUGUGGUAACGGCAUACCAAGGCGAUGAUGGUUACCCGGCCUAAGAGGGUGAUCGGGCACAUUGGGACUGAGAUACGGCCCAGACUCCUACGGGAGGCAGCAGCUAAGAAUAUUGGUCAAUGGACGAGAGUCUGAACCAGCCAAGUAGCGUGAAGGAUGACUGCCCUAUGGGUUGUAAACUUCUUUUGUUUGGGAAUAAAGUGAGGGACGUGUCCCUUUUUGUAUGUACCAUUCGAAUAAGCAUCGGCUAAUUCCGUG
rnacentral:rRNA from 1 species